rnacentral:rRNA from 1 species
AUUGAACGCUGGCGACAUGCCUUACACAUGCAAGUCGAACGGCAGCACGGGUGCUUGCACCUGGUGGCGAGUGGCGAACGGGUGAGUAAUACAUCGGAACAUGUCCUGUAGUGGGGGAUAGCCCGGCGAAAGCCGGAUUAAUACCGCAUACGAUCUACGGAUGAAAGCGGGGGACCUUCGGGCCUCGCGCUAUAGGGUUGGCCGAUGGCUGAUUAGCUAGUUGGUGGGGUAAAGGCCUACCAAGGCGACGAUCAGUAGCUGGUCUGAGAGGACGACCAGCCACACUGGGACUGAGAAACGGCCAAGACUCCUACGGGAGGCAGCAGUGGGGAAUUUUGGACAAUGGGCGAAAGCCUGAUCCAGAAAUGCCGCGUGUGUGAAGAAGGCCUUCGGGUUGUAAAGAACUUUUGUCCGGAAAGAAAUCCUUGGCCCUAAUACGGUCGGGGGAUGACGGUACCGGAAGAAUAAGCACCGGCUAACUACGUG